rfam:Neotoma lepida isolate 417 scaffold_3649, whole genome shotgun sequence.
GUGAUACUCAAAUGUGGGGCACUAUUCUGGACUGAGUAGAAAGUGCUACGACAUUUGAGUUUCUC